CCUACGGGGAGCAGCAGUAGGGAAUCUUUCACAAUGGGCGAAAGCCUGAUGGAGCAACGCCGCGUGCAGGAUGAAGGCCUUCGGGUUGUAAACUGCUUUUAUAAGCGAGAAAUAUGAUGGUAACUUAUGAAUAAGGAUCGGCUAACUACGUGCCAGCAGCCGCGGUCAUACGUAGGAUCCGAGCAUUAUCCGGAGUGACUGGGUGUAAAGAGUUGCGUAGGUGGCAUAAUAAGUAGCUAGUGAAAUCUGGUGGCUCAACCAUUCAGACUAGCAGCUAAACUGUUAAGCUCGAGACCGUUAGGGGUAACUGGAAUUUCUAGUGUAGGAGUGAAAUCCGUAGAUAUUAGAAGGAACACCAAUAGCGUAGGCAGGUUGCUGGGACGGUUCUGACACUAAGGCACGAAAGCGUAGGGAGCAAACGGGAUUAGAUACCCCGGUAGU
rnacentral:rRNA from 1 species